AGAUUUUUAGUCACAUGACACACUUUAGAAUUGUUAGUCAAUUGUAUAUACCUUCUUGAUAGGCUGUGACAACAAACCAUUAUUAUACCUGUCUCGUGUAGGUCCAGCUUGCUUUCAGGUGAAUUUUCAACCGCAAACUGGAUGUGCCUAUUUAUCUCCAACAAUAGAGAGCAGUUGCCAUAUUUCAUUCCAUAACGGCUACCUCUGAAGAGCACAGGAUUACAUAAUUGGACAGUUACCUAACACUCCAUUGAGCCUCUGGUGCGAAACCAAU